rnacentral:rRNA from 1 species
CGCCACAAAGCGGUGGAGCAUGUGGUUUAAUUCGAAGCAACGCGAAGAACCUUACCAGGUCUUGACAUCCUUUGACCACUCUAGAGAUAGAGCUUUCCCUUCGGGGACAAAGUGACAGGUGGUGCAUGGUUGUCGUCAGCUCGUGUCGUGAGAUGUUGGGUUAAGUCCCGCAACGAGCGCAACCCUUAUUGUUAGUUGCCAUCAUUUAGUUGGGCACUCUAGCGAGACUGCCGGUGACAAACCGGAGGAAGGUGGGGAUGACGUCAAAUCAUCAUGCCCCUUAUGACCUGGGCUACACACGUGCUACAAUGGGAAGUACAACGAGUCGCUANACCGCGAGGUCAUGCAAAUCUCUUAAAGCUUCUCUCAGUUCGGAUUGCAGGCUGCAACUCGCCUGCAUGAAGCCGGAAUCGCUAGUAAUCGCGGAUCAGCACGCCGCG